GAAAUAUCAUUAACAAAAUUUUCAUGUUUGUCGACCCUUUCGGGCGCUUCUUGCUUAGUAUCUGCUGGUAACAAUAAUAAAUCCUAAUUCCAAGCUUCCGGAAUCCUCCAGAAUAUGGCAGGGAGGUGAGGAGAAAACCUAGCUUCCAUGGAGUCUCUAUUUAUUCUCUGGUAGACUGCGCAGAGAAAAAUAGAAAGAGAAAACCCGAUAGUCCUCGUUGCCCCAUCGCUACAAUCUUCACGAUCAUAACCAAAGAACAGCUUUCUCCAUGGCGGAGGUUUUCUCUGGCGACCCUUUCAGGCGCUUCUUCCUUAGCCCUCCGAUUUACCGAACGUGGCCCGGAUCAACGGCCCUCAUGGACUGGCUCGAGACCCCUUCUGCCCACGUCUUCAAGCUCAACGUCCCAGGUUUCAGCAAAGAUGAGAUAAAGGUGCAGAUUGAAGAUGGGAACAUUUUGCACAUAAAAGGGGAAGGUGGGAAAGAUGAAUCUGGCGGAAAGGACACUGUUUGGCAUGUGGCAGAAAGAGGAAAUGGGAAGGGGGAUUUCUCUAGGGAAAUUGAAUUACCAGAGGGUGUGAAGGUGGAUCACAUAAAGGCCCAUGUGGAGAAUGGUGUCCUCACCAUUGUUGUUCCAAAAGACACAAACCCUAAGCCCUCCAAAGUACGCACAAUCAAUGUUUCUAGCAAGCUGUGAGUCUAUCACCUUUGAUGUGGGUUUUGUAUGUUGUGCAAAGUGGUGUAAUAAUGUCUAAAGAUUACUAUAGUGGUGCAUGCGGAGAAGCAAUUGCAGAAAGGAGAUUCUCCCCCACAAAAAAAAGUUAGAGAAGGUAGCAAGCCAGGAAGGAUAUUGACUCAAAUUAGCUUCUUAUUAUAUUGCAGUAUUGGCAGGAAGAGAGUACUGCCUUUUUUUUUUUUUGAGAUAUGGUCUUAGGUUUUCUUCACAAACUUAUAAAAUCUAGAUUUAUUUAGGGUUCGUGUGGAUCAAGAAUUUAAUUUUGCUUGGAAAAAGGAAAGGCAAAGAAAACGAGGAGGAAACUAAUUUUUUAUUUUGUUUUCCUUCUAUAUUAAAUAUUAUUGAAAAUGAAAGUUUAUUUUAAUAUGAUUGAAAAUAUGAGAAAGUCAAAUAUUAAUGAUGAGUAGAAUCAAAAUUUUGUUUGUAGGUUAGUGUAUUUUUUAUUUUAUUUUUUUACUUUUCUUGAUAACCAAACAUGAAAAUGCGAAUUCCUUCAUAUUUUCCUUUUCUUUCCUUAGUGUUUUUUGAGUUCUAAAAAGAGAUUUAGUAUCUUCUUGUGAGAAAUUGUUCAAUUUAUUUGAUGGCCUGUGGAGAAUUUGGAUUCCUAGGCAUUGAAUAAGCAUCGCUUGCUACUAGCAAAAUUCCUUGUUAAAGUGAAAUGAUUUUUGCAUCAAUGCUUUAAAUACUAGAAGGAUGGGAAAAUGCGGAAGAACGUAAAAAUUUUAAUUGUGCUGAGAGGAUGAACGGCUUGUAUGCCCAUUGAACCGAUGAAUCGCAAGACAUUGUUAUUGGUGUGUAUUUUUGUCAUUUUUAGAUCACUCUCACCUGAGAUGUCAAUAGUUUUUGUUUUUGCUUUUGUUUUUGUUUUUAAAACUUAUUUUAUUCAAGUUUAAUUAUUUAUUACUUGAUUAAUUAUUCUUUGAUUCAAUUAUGUUUGGUUUGUAUGGUUCCGAAAUAUGUGUUAUGGAUUACCCUACAUUAGACUUGGAUUAUUUUACUCGUACUUCGCAUAUGCUUAGGGUUAUGCUAUAGUGGAGCCAUUGAGAUUUUCUCUGAUAUUAUUUUUGAAUUUGUAUUUGUAAUUUUAAUUUCGUAUAUUUCUGUUUCAUUGUAUUUUGGAGUUAGUUUAGGCAGACUUUUUAUUUGAAUCUUUCUGUUUCAUUGUGCGUAGGAAUUAGUUUAGGCAGAGCUGUUGUAUUUGAUUUUCCUUGUAAUCUAUAGAUACUGAUCAAUGAAAAACCAUCUUGUGUGUGACCUUUUAUUUCCUUUCCAAUCUUCUACGUUUCUCUUUUUAUGAUAUCAGAGCAAUUUAAAAUUUAAAAUUGCUAUUGCUAUUCUUCUUUAAGCCACCAGUCAUGACUACAAACUGUCGAUCAAAAUUUUCAACCUCCCUACUUGCAGUUCACAACCCCAAUGAUCCAAAUAAUGCCUUAAUCACCGUCAAUAUCUCAGCUCAGGCCCCACUCAAACUCACCACCAAUAAUUACAUCUCAUGGAAGCUUCAAUUUCACACCCUCUUUUAAGGUAUAUGAUCUCCUAGGAUAUGUAGAUGGAUCAAAAUCAUGCCCACCAGCCACUGUUACUGCAAACAACACCACUACACCAAAUCCUGCUCACAUAAUGUGGGUUUGACAAGAUCAAUUAAUUCUAAAUGCUCUUGUUGGAUAAGACAUCGCAGGAAGCAUGGACAAUUUUGGCGGACACGUAUGCUGAGCCGUCACGAGGACGCAUUAAGCAGGUAAAAAGUCACCUUAAAAAUCUAACCAAAGGCAAAGUGUUACAGAUUUCCUACAAAUAGUGAAAGCUCGUGCUGGUGAGCUUGCGAUUCUUGGAGCACCAAUGGAAGAAGAUGAUCUCAGAGAAAAUCUCGAUUGCUCUAUUAUAUAUACAACAUUUAACUUAGCUUAGUAUAAUGUCCAAUUCUUCGUAACCAUGGCUAGUUUAGGUGAACCUAAUUUUGACCAUGGUAGUGUAAACUCUUCAUUAUCUUGAGUAGUUCAAGCUGUAAUUGACGAAGUCUUGGGUUUUGGUUAAGUUGCUUUUGUGGCGGAUUCUUUCAACAGCAGAUUUGCUGGUUGAAAAAUAAAUCAUUUUCGAGAGAUUGAGCCA